rnacentral:rRNA from 1 species
UUCAGGUGAGAUAAAGCCACCUUCGUGGAUCUUCUUACUUUCGUAAGCGUAUAACAGCUUAGUAAGCGUUCGGCUUUAGUGUUUAUUAUUCCUUAACCACGCUUUACGCCGGAGCUUGUCAACUUGGGCUUCUCGUAUAACCGCGGUAGCUGGCACGAGUUUUACCAGCCCUUUUAACCAUAACUAAGUCAAGUUUGCACUUAUUGGCUUAAUGUCUGUCACUGCUGAGUUCCCUUGGGGGUGUGGCUGAGCAAGGUGUUGUGGGCUAUAAGGGCAUGUGCCUGAUACCAGCUCCUUGUUCCCGGACGGGGAACUGUGGGGCAUUCUCACGGGGGUGCGGAUACUCGCAUGUGUAAAUCUGGUUAAAGCUGACAGGAAAGUCAGGACCAAGCCUUUG